rnacentral:rRNA from 1 species
UAAUACGUAGGGGGCAAGCGUUGUCCGGAAUUAUUGGGCGUAAAGCGCGCGCAGGCGGUUCUUUAAGUCUGGUGUUUAAACCCGAGGCUCAACUUCGGGACGCACUGGAAACUGGGGAACUUGAGUGCAGAAGAGGAGAGUGGAAUUCCACGUGUAGCGGUGAAAUGCGUAGAUAUGUGGAGGAACACCAGUGGCGAAGGCGACUCUCUGGGCUGUAACUGACGCUGAGGCGCGAAAGCGUGGGGAGCGAACAGGAUUAGAUACCCUGGUAGUCCACGCCGUAAACGAUGAAUGCUAGGUGUUAGGGGUUUCGAUACCCUUGGUGCCGAAGUUAACACAUUAAGCAUUCCGCCUGGGGAGUACGGUCGCAAGACUGAA